GUGCAGCAGGCGCGAAACUUUACAAUGUGCGAAAGCACGAUAAGGGAACUCUGAGUGCCUCCUAAGGAGGCUGUUCAGGUGUCUAAAAGCACCUGAAGGAAGGGCUGGGUAAGACCGGUGCCAGCCGCCGCGGUAACACCGGCAGCCCAAGUGGUAGCCACGUUUAUUGGGUCUAAAGCGUCCGUAGCCGGCUGGGUAAGUUCCUUGGGAAAUUUGGCUGCUUAACAGUCAAGCUUUCAGGGAAUACUGCCCGGCUUGGGACCGGGAGAGGUCAGAGGUACUCCAGGGGUAGGGGUGAAAUCCAUUAAUCCUUGGGGGACCGCCGGUAGCGAAGGCGUCUGACCAGACCGGGUCCGACGGUGAGGGACGAAGGCUAGGGGCGCGAACCGGAUUAGAUACUCGCGUAGU
rnacentral:rRNA from 1 species